rnacentral:lncRNA from 1 species
AAAGUAACUUUCUAAAUUGUGUUUGAAACUUUUAAAAAAUGCAUUUAUUUAAUAAUUUGUUUGUUUUUUAUUUGUUUUUUUAUCAAUAUUUUACACAAUAUACUUUUCAGUAUCCAAAUAAUUGUUUUGUACACUACUUUGUAAUGUUUUUCACUGAAAACGUAGCAUUGAGGUGUAUUUUCCGGAAUAUGCCGAGUAUCACCGGAAUGCCAUGCGAUAACGUUACGGAAAGGCAUGUGAUAACAAUCGAAGACUGUGAUAAACUUUUCAUAUCAGCCCGCUAAUACCC